rnacentral:rRNA from 1 species
CAGUAGCCGCGGGAAUACGGAGGGUGCAAGCGUUAUCCGGAUUUAUUGGGUUUAAAGGGUCCGUAGGCGGAUCUGUAAGUCAGUGGUGAAAUCUCACAGCUUAACUGUGAAACUGCCAUUGAUACUGUAGGUCUUGAGUAAAUUUGAAGUGGCUGGAAUAAGUAGUGUAGCGGUGAAAUGCAUAGAUAUUACUUAGAACACCAAUUGCGAAGGCAGGUCACUAAGAUUUAACUGACGCUGAUGGACGAAAGCGUGGGGAGCGAACAGGAUUAGAUACCCCUGUAGUCCCUGUCUCUUAUAU